rnacentral:tRNA from 3 species
GGUAAAGUGGCUGAAUAGGUAUUGAGUUGUAGCCUCAACCAUGAAGGUUUAAUCCUUUUUUUACCA